GACGAACGCUGGCGGCGUGCUUAACACAUGCAAGUCGAACGGAAAGACCCUGCUUUUGUGGGGUGCUCGAGUGGCGAACGGGUGAGUAACACGUGAGUAACCUGCCCUUGACUUUGGGAUAACUUCAGGAAACUGGGGCUAAUACCGGAUAGGAGCUCCUGCUGCAUGGUGGGGGUUGGAAAGUUUCGGCGGUUGGGGAUGGACUCGCGGCUUAUCAGCUUGUUGGUGGGGUAGUGGCUUACCAAGGCUUUGACGGGUAGCCGGCCUGAGAGGGUGACCGGCCACAUUGGGACUGAGAUACGGCCCAGACUCCUACGGCAGGCAGCAGUGGGGAAUAUUGCACAAUGGGCGGAAGCCUGAUGCAGCAGCGCCGCGUGCGGGAUGACGGCCUUCGGGUUGUAAACCGCUUUCGCCUGUGACGAAGCGUGAGUGACGGUAAUGGGUAAAGAAGCACCGGCUAACUACGUG
rnacentral:rRNA from 1 species